AAACUUAAAGGAAUUGACGGGACCCGCACAAGCGGUGGAUGAUGUGGUUUAAUUCGAUGCAACGCGAAAACCUUACCCACCUUUGACAUGGCAGGAAUCCCGAAGAGAUUUGGGAGUGCUCGAAAGAGAACCUGCACACAGGUGCUGCAUGGCUGUCGUCAGCUCGUGUCGUGAGAUGUUGGGUUAAGUCCCGCAACGAGCGCAACCCUUGCCAUUAGUUGCUACGAAAGGGCACUCUAAUGGGACUGCCGGUGACAAACCGGAGGAAGGUGGGGAUGACGUCAAGUCCUCAUGGCCCUUAUAGGUGGGGCUACACACGUCAUACAAUGGCCGGUACAGAGGGUAGCCAACCCGCGAGGGGGAGCCAAUCCCACAAAGCCGGUCGUAGUCCGGAUCGCAGUCUGCAACUCGACUGCGUGAAGUCGGAAUCGCUAGUAAUCGCGGAUCAGCAUGUCGCGGUGAAUACGUUCCCGGGUCUU
rnacentral:rRNA from 1 species